rnacentral:rRNA from 1 species
CGUGCCUAAUACAUGCAAGUCGAACGGUCUUUUCUAUGGAAGCUUGCUUCCGCUGAGAAGAUAGUGGCGGAACGGGUGAGUAACACGUGGGUAACCUGCCCAUAAGAGGGGGAUAACAUCCGGAAACGGGUGCUAAUACCGCAUAGUUUUUCUUGAUCGCAUGAUCGGGAAAGGAAAGACGGCCUUUGUGCUGUCGCUUAUGGAUGGACCCGCGGCGUAUUAGUUAGUUGGUGAGGUAACGGCUCACCAAGACGAUGAUACGUAGCCGACCUGAGAGGGUGAUCGGCCACAUUGGACUGAGACACGGCCCAAACUCCUACGGGAGGCAGCAGUAGGGAAUCUUCCGCAAUGGACGAAAGUCUGACGGAGCAACGCCGCGUGAGUGAAGAAGGUUUUUCCGGAUCGUAAAACUCUGUUGUCAGAGAAGAACAAGUUGGAGAGUAACUGCUCCAGCCUUGACGGUAUCUGACCAGAAAGCCACGGCUAACUACGUGCCAGCAGCAGC